rnacentral:sRNA from 1 species
AUUUUAGCCUCUUUUGGGAGAAAAUGGGUAUAAGUGUUGUCUAAGCACUCCUAAUCCAUCUCUAACUCUUAUAAUUAGUCGAAUGCAUUGGGUUCUAACACAUUUUGACCAUAAAACACUAAAAAAACUGUUUACUGCUUUUAAACAAAUUUUUGUUGGUUUUAGUCUCUUUUAGGAAAAAAUGGGUAUAAGUAUUGUCUAAACACUCUUAAUCCAUCUCUAACUCUUAUAUUUAGUCAAAGGCUUUGGAUUGUGACUCAUUUUGACCAUAGGAACACUAACAAAGCUAUUUACUGCUUUAAGCAAUGUUUUGUUGGUUUUAGCCUGUUUUGGGAGAAAAUGGGUAUAAGUGUUGUCUAAACACUCCUAAUCCAUCUCUAACUCUUAUAAUUAUUCAAAUGCAUUGGAUUGUGACAGAUUUUGACCAUAAAAACACUAACAAAGCUGUCUACUGGUUCAAAACAAUUUUUGUUGGUUUUAGCCUCUUUGGAGAGAAAAAGGGUAUAAGUGUUGUCUAAACACUCCUAAUCAAUCUCUAACUCUUAUAAUUAAUCAAAUGCAUUGGAUUGUGACACAUUUUGACCAUAAAAACACUAACAAAGCUGUCUACUGUUUCAAAACAAUUUUUGUUGGUUUUAGCCUCUUUUCAGAGAAAAAAGGUAUAAGUGUUGUCUAAACACUCCUAAUCCAUCUCUAACUCUUAUAAUUAGUGAAAUGCAUUGGAUUUUGACACAUUUUGACCAUAAAAACACUAACAAAACUGUUUACUGCUUCUAAGCAAUUUUUU